rnacentral:lncRNA from 1 species
AGGUCCUGGAGCACUUGGAAUCUCAGCUCAGAAACUUGGGACUUCCUUUCCUGAGGCUGCUUCUCUCUGAGAUCUUCCCCAGCAAGCUCAGUCUACUUCCUUCGGUGGACGUGUGGGUGCAGGUGGCAUGUCCACGCCUCUCCAUUGACUGGGGCUCAGCCUUUCCCAAGCCACUGCUGACACCCUACGAGGCAGCUGUGGCCCUGAAAGAGAUUUCUUGGCAGCAACCCUACCCUAUGGACUUCUACGCUGGCAGCUCCUUAGGGCCAUGGACAGUGAACCAUGGUCGGGACCGAGCACCCAGGGGUCUCUGCCAGCCUGCAUCCGACAAGGUGCAGCAGGGGUCCAGAGGCCACUCUCCAGUCCCGGCCUGUGAGGGCUGCAGCUGCGCAGACCAGAAAGCUACACCGCCAGCUCCCUGAGAGGUCUGGAGCAGCAGGUUCUACUUCCGCUUGGGAAGACAUGCUUCCGGUUCUGCAGCAUGGCGGCACGGCAGACCCUGAGAGUACUGUGCCUCGCCGGCUUCCGGCAGAGCGAACGGGGCUUCCGUGAGAAGACUGGGGCGCUAAGAAAAGCGCUGCGGGGUCACGCAGAGCUCGUGUGCCUCAGCGGGCCACACCCGGUAACCGAGGCAGCGGCUUCCGAGGGCGCAGGGACAGACUCGGGUGAGAUAAGCUAGUCCCCUUAGCACACCCAAACCCCUUAGACUACUUAGUUUAAACAGGGCUCUAGUCUGAGCUCCCAGGCUUCCUCCAUUAUCUGUGUUCAGUCCAUACCAGGUCCCUCCCUCCCCACCCCCA